GAUGAACGCUGGCGGCGUGCCUAAUACAUGCAAGUCGAACGAGUUCUCGUUGAUGAUCGGUGCUUGCACCGAGAUUCAACAUGGAACGAGUGGCGGACGGGUGAGUAACACGUGGGUAACCUGCCCUUAAGUGGGGGAUAACAUUUGGAAACAGAUGCUAAUACCGCAUAGAUCCAAGAACCGCAUGGUUCUUGGCUGAAAGAUGGCGUAAGCUAUCGCUUUUGGAUGGACCCGCGGCGUAUUAGCUAGUUGGUGAGGUAAUGGCUCACCAAGGCGAUGAUACGUAGCCGAACUGAGAGGUUGAUCGGCCACAUUGGGACUGAGACACGGCCCAAACUCCUACGGGAGGCAGCAGUAGGGAAUCUUCCACAAUGGACGCAAGUCUGAUGGAGCAACGCCGCGUGAGUGAAGAAGGCUUUCGGGUCGUAAAACUCUGUUGUCGGAGAAGAAGGUCGGCAGAGUAACUGUU
rnacentral:rRNA from 2 species